GUACCAUGAUGAAUGAUUUCUGCACUGAUCUUCCUCUUGAUGUUUUGAAUUUUGAGCUUUUUAACUCUGACGUACC
rnacentral:snoRNA from 1 species